AGCAAUUCGAUGAAAUGUAAAAUGUAUCUAUCUUUUUUUUUUUAAAUCACACACAAGUAUUCAUAACCACAGGGUUCACCAGAAAUCUAAAGCAAGGAGACACUCAUAUAGAAAUGGAGUUACUCUUCCACAGAUCGUUCUGAUCAAAGGUUUUGGAACAGAAAUGAAUUAAUGAUUUUUUUGUAUAAUAUCCAACAUGUCCACUAUCAAAUACAUUUAGUAUGAAAAAAUAGAUGAAGAAAAGGAACAUACAUUAGGACAAAGUAUCUGGUUAAAAUGCUGUUCAUUUAAAUAAAGCCCACUCUCCUUACUUUAGAGCUCCUUGGUGAAAUGGAGGUGAGUUUGAUGGAGUGCAGUUGAUGACCACUGAAAAACACGAGCCCUUUCAACAAUGUUGCAACACUGUUAGUUUUUGGUUUAAACACACACACACACUCACAAAUGCUAAGUGUACACUACCAAAUUCUGCGGUCAGCUUUUCCAAGAACUACUGGGGAAAGUUUCAAUGCUGCAAAUCCUCGAGGUUGCCCUAACACCCCCACCUUGUUUCCAAAUGACUCAUUUCACAUUUUGUUUUGAGCACUGGCAGUAUCCCUUUACAAUGCAGAGGUGCAGUGUAGCACAAGUGCUACAUAGCUGUAGUUUUCAAACAAAACCACUUAUAUCAUUGUGCUUAAGUGGAGACUGUAGUUACAAUACUGACAUUCGCUUACUGGCCCUGUAUUCUCUGUAAACAAGGAGGCUGUUUGCAACAACCACUUCAACUCUAUUUACAGAAGGGUUCCCACGGUAUACACACAGGCACAAGGGUUGGUAUGCUUUCUAAAAGCUGUGCAUGUGCCUUGGUCUCUUAAAAAGACAGUGCCCAAAGUGGAACCUAUGUGCAAACAAGAAAUUAACGACACAGAGUAGCUCAAGCAGCCAUUUUGCUCCCAAGUCGUCUGAAGAACUUUGCCAGAUUAAGCCAGGCCCCAGAGUGCUUACAUCCACUUGCAUUUCUUCUUUUCAUCAAAUAAGACUUUUACAUGCAAGAGUUGUUUCUGAGCUUCUUCCAGCCCUCGUUCUCUUUCUAGUUUAUUUAGAAUCUGUUGACAAUUAGAACAGUUAUUUUAGAUAUUGUGGUUUUAGCGUUACAAUUCUGUUUUUUGCAUACCUGAUGCUAUGAGUGGUAAAAUCUGUAUGAAACAGAUGCCAACAUUUUCUUCCAUCAUUUACAUACUCACUUUGCAAGUUGUUUUGCUAAGUCCUUAUCACAGGAUCAACAAUACCUUGGCUUAAAAUAGAAGCUCGCAAGAAAUACCAACUAUUUGCUUACAAAUAUAUGGGGCCAGGCUUCCAAGGCCCUGCUUUAUGCAUUAUGUCACAGCCAUUCCAAGCACAGCAAGCAUUCCUGGGCAGCCAACAUGCAGGUUGGGAUAUCCUUGGCAUAGAGAA
rnacentral:lncRNA from 1 species